UUGGGCUGUACCAAGACCUCAAGCAAUGCAUUUUGGUAGAACAGUCGCUACCUGUCCAAAAAGACGCGUUUGAUGUGGUUGUGAUAUGUGGAGCACUGAGUGUGGAACUCGUUCCUGUAAGCGUGGUCAGAGAGCUGUGCAUCGCCUGCAAACCAGGUGGCUAUGUUUGUAUGACGUGCAGACAUAGCGCUGACAAUCUGGAGUACAUAACUGCCCUGGAGCGUGAACUGGAGCAGAUGCAGGACGAGGGGCUCUGGAGUCGUGUAGCUGUCACUGAGGUGGAAAACUGGGUGAAAGGAGUUUCAGCAGCGGCAGGGGACAACUAUUCAUCUGGUUAUGUGUACCUCUACAAGAAACUGUAGCAUGAUGCACCACAGAGAUGUGUCAUUACAUACUGUAUGUCAGACCAGCAAAUGUAGACAACAAAAUAUGUAACGAGAUACAACAUACUCAAAUAACUGCACUUCAAAUGUCAAGUUUUCAGGACUUUUCUUUUGACGGUCUCUUACUGACUGACACUGAUGUGAAUGUGAUAGAGGAACAUGCACUAAUAAUUUACAAUAGAUAGUAUUGCCUGUAUAGUUUUCCCAAAUAAGCAUGUGUAAUGUGUGAUAUAGCAUGCUGAAAACAUUAUUUACUGUUGGUAUUUGAAAAUGUGUCAAAUACAAUUGCCAAACAAAA